GAGCGGCAAAAGCUCAAAUUUGAAAUCUAGCACUUUCAGUGUUCGAGUUGUAAUUUGAAGAAGGUAACUUUGGUUUUGGCUCUUGUCUAUGUUCCUUGGAACAGGACGUCACAGAGGGUGAGAAUCCCGUGCGAUGAGAUGCCCAAUUCCAUGUAAAGUGCUUUCGAAGAGUCGAGUUGUUUGGGAAUGCAGCUCUAAGUGGGUGGUAAAUUCCAUCUAAAGCUAAAUAUUGGCGAGAGACCGAUAGCGAACAAGUACAGUGAUGGAAAGAUGAAAAGAACUUUGAAAAGAGAGUGAAAAAGUACGUGAAAUUGUUGAAAGGGAAGGGCUUGAGAUCAGACUUGGUAUUUUGCGUUCCCUUCCUUUUUGGUUGGGUUCCUCGCAGUUUACUGGGCCAGCAUCGGUUUGGAUGGUAGGAUAAUGACAUUGGAAUGUAGCUUUACUUCGGUGAAGUGUUAUAGACUUUGUUGAUACUGCCUAUCUAGACCGAGGACUGCGUCUUUGACUAGGAUGCUGGCGUAAUGAUCUUAAGCCGCCCGUCUUGA
rnacentral:rRNA from 1 species